UACAGAGGUCUCAAGCGUUGUUCGGAAUUACUGGGCGUAAAGGGUGCGCAGGCCGCGCGGGCAGUCAAAUGUGUAAUCCAGGGGCUCAACCCCUGAACUGCGCUUGAUACUUCCGCGCUCGAGCUUUGGAGAGGAGUCUGGAAUUCGUCGGUGUAGCAGUGAAAUGCGUGGAUAUCGAGAAGAACACUUAGGGCGUAGGCAAGACUCUGGACAAAUGCUGACGCUCAUGCACGAAGGCUAGGGUAGCGAACGGG
rnacentral:rRNA from 1 species